rnacentral:rRNA from 1 species
UUUAAUUCGACGCAACGCGAAGAACCUUACCUGGGUUUGACAUGUGCAGGAUCGGUGAUGAAAGUCACUCUCCCUUCGGGGCCUGUGCACAGGUGCUGCAUGGCUGUCGUCAGCUCGUGUCGUGAGAUGUUGGGUUAAGUCCCGCAACGAGCGCAACCCUUGCCCUCUGUUGCUACCGGGUCAUGCCGGGCACUCUGGGGGGACUGCCCCGGUGAACGGGGAGGAAGGUGGGGAUGACGUCAAGUCCUCAUGGCCUUUAUGUCCAGGGCUACACACGUGCUACAAUGGUCAGGACAAUGGGUCGCUCCCGCGUAAGCGGUUGCCAAUCUCAAAAACCUGGCCCUAGUUCGGAUGGUCGGCUGCAACUCGCCGGCCUGAAGCUGGAAUCGCUAGUAAUCGGAGAUCAGCACGCUC